AUGGGAUCAGAAUGGUAUCUGCUGGUAAUAACGCAACAGAUACAAGGCUUUCUGCAGCACCUUCUGAGCAAUUGGGCUGUCACUGUCCUAAAUGGAGUAGUUGGGUUAAAAGUAUUUGUCCAUGACAUAACUCCCUGGCCCUCAGCUACCAGUGGAAGCAGGUCUCUCUGGUUCGACCUGUUAAUACCACAAACUCUACUUUGCCAGAAAUGUGACUUCUUGAUGAAUAAGUUGGUCCAGACCUGCCAAUUUGAAGUGAACUCAUAUUUGGCAGUCUGCUGGAGCGCCAACGAUCAAGAGGAGACCAGAUGAGUUUUCAGAGCAGUCCUCAAACACCCAGGACACACCUCAUCCUUUGCCUCAUGCUUUCUGCAAUGUUGCUGCUCACAUUCAUCUUCCUAUUAACGCUUGCCAUAAUUACCCCUUCCUGAUCACCAUUCUUCCUCCAUUCACUACCCACUCAGCUCUUUCUCCAAGGUGCCUGUCUUAUGGGCAGUGGCUUUGUUCUCUGUUUGGCAAGUUCCCCUCUGAGUUAUGUCAAGAUGGCUAACAUUGGUUUCCCUCUUUCCUCAUGCCCAACAGCCCCUGCCUCAUGCCCAACAGCCCAGCAUUCAGUCCCUAGGUGAGGAAAACCACAGCACAUCCUACCUCUUCCAAAAUGAAGUUGCAAGCCUCUGCCAGAGCAGUCACACUCAAUGAAGAUACUCGAGGUAUCUGAGUGUGAUGUAAUUAAAACUAGAUGGAAAGACCAGAAAUCCCUUAGUCCCAGUCAGAUAUAGUGAAAGCGCUUACUCAUGACUGUUUGGACUGAUUAAGAAUGUGGAGGUAGGAAGAAGAGAAAGAGAAGGAUCCUCAGAAUUGGACUGCCCCUGAAUACAGGAUGGAAUCAUCCAGACUUUUUUUCCUCCAAUUAAAUUUGCAUUUCAUUCUACCGCAUUGUGAUGGCUUCACUCUAGACAUUUUCAUUUGAAACCCAAGGCUUUUCUUCAUGGGUUCUGAACCACAGGUUCCUGGAUGGUGAG
rnacentral:lncRNA from 1 species